UACGGGGGGGGCAAGCGUUGUUCGGAAUUACUGGGCGUAAAGGGUUCGUAGGUGGCCAACUAAGUCAGACGUGAAAUCCCUCGGCUUAACCGGGGAACUGCGUCUGAUACUGGAUGGCUUGAGGUUGGGAGAGGGAUGCGGAAUUCCAGGUGUAGCGGUGAAAUGCGUAGAUAUCUGGAGGAACACCGGUGGCGAAGGCGGCAUCCUGGACCAAUUCUGACGCUGAGGAGCGAAAGCCAGGGGAGCAAACGGG
rnacentral:rRNA from 1 species